ensembl:lncRNA
GUGCCCCCCCCCCCCUCUGUCAUAGAUGUGUCACCCCUCUGUCCAUAGAGGGUGUCCACCCCUCCUCUGUCAUAGUUGUGUGCCCCCCCCUCUUCUGUCAUAGAUGUGUCACUCCCCUCCUCUGUCAUAGAUGUGCCACCCCCCUCCUGUCAUAGAUGUGUCACCCCGUCCUCUGUCAUAGGUGUGCCCCCCCCUCCUCUGUCAGAUUGUCACACCCCCCUCGGUCAUAGAUGUGUCACCCCCCUCCACCGUCAUAGAUGUGCCCCCCCCUCUGUCAUAGAUGUGUCACCCCUCCUCUGUCAAGUUGUGUGCCCCCCCCCUCCUCUGUUCAUAGAUGUGUCACCCCUCUGUCAUAGAUGUGUCACCCGUCCUCUGUCAUAGAUGUGUCACCCCCCCUCCUCUGUCAUAGAUGUGUCACCCCCCUCCUCUGUCAUAGAGUGUCACCCCUCCUCUGUCAUGAUGUGUCCCCCCCCCUCCGUCAUAUAUGUGCCCCCCCCCUCCUCUGUCAUAAGUGUGUCACCCCCUCCUCUGUCAUAGUUGUUGUGCCCCCCUCCUCUGUCAUAGAUGUGUCACCCCUCGUCAAUGUGUACCCCUGUCAUGAUGUGCCCCCCCCUCCUCUGUCAUAGAUGUGUCACCCUCUGUCAUAGAUGUGUCACCCCUCCUCUGUCAUAGUUGUGUGCCCCCCCCCUCUUCUGUCAUAGAUGUGUCACCCCUCCUCUGUCUAGUGUGCCACCCCCCUCCUGUCAUAGAUGUGUCACCCGUCCUCUGUCAUAGUGUGUCACCCCCCUCCUCUUCAUAGAUGUUCACACCCCUCCUCUGUCAUAGAUGUGUCACCCCCCCUCCGUCAUAGAUGUGCCCCCCCUCUGUCUAUAGAUGUGUCACCCCUCCUCUGUCAUAGUUGUGUUGCCCCCCCUCCUCUGUCAUAGAUGUGUCCACCCCUCUGUCAUAGAUGUGUCACCCCUCCUCUGUCAUAGAUGUGCCCCCCCUCCUCUGUCAUAGAUGUGUCACCCUCCUGUCAUAGAUGUGUCACCCCCCCUCCGUCAUAGAUGUGCCCCCCCCUCCUCUGUCAUAGAUGUGCCCCCCCCCUCCUCUGUCAUAGAUGUGUCACCCCUCUGUCAUAGUUGUGUGCCCCCCUCCUCUGUCAUAGAUGUGUCACCCCUCCUCUGUCAUAGAUAUGCCCCCCCCUCCUCUGUCAUAGAUGUGCCCCCCUCCUCUGUCAUAUAUGUCACCCUUUCAUCAGAUGUGCCCCCCUCCCUCUGUCAUAGAUGUGUGUCCCCCCUGCUCUGUCAUAGAUGUUGUCCCCCCUCCCUCUGUCAUAGAUGUGUCACCCCCCCCCUCUGUCAUAGAUGUGUCCCCCCCCCCUCCCUCUGUCAUAGAUGUGCCCCCCCCCUCCCUCUGUCAUUAUUUGUCACCCCCCCCUCUGUCAUAGAUGUGUCACCCCCCUCUGUCAUAGAUGUGUCCCCCCCCUCUGUCAUAGAUGUGCCCCCCCUCUGUCAUAGAUGUGCCCCCCCUCCUCUGUCUAGAUGUGUGCCCCCCCCUCUGUCAUAG